GCCACCACGAACAAAAUCCUGAGUCGAGAGGGCCUCUGCUGACCUGCCAGAGGUACGCGGCCUCCACCCCGCUCAGGAACACGAAUUGGUCAUGGAUUAUAGAUGACUUGUCAAAGUGCAGCACUGCUGGGCAUCUGCGGGGCACGGCACAAAGUUAUUGUGAGAGCAGCCGCUAAUCAUCGAUUCAUCACACGGGACCCGAUUAUAAGACGACGAGGCUUGGCGCUCGCCUGGCAAGGAUUCGCCACACGACAAACGCGCGGCCCGGACGACCCCCAUUACGGAAAGAAGAACGAAAGGAAAAGCGCACGGAAACAAAAGCACAGCGCGGCAAAGCACAGAUGCUUGUUCUGCGCCAUCCGCCAAAUGACCUUUGGUCUCACCCGGGCCACCCCGCUGACAAGUCUCUUGCUCUGCCCCUGGGUUUCACCACCCCUAUUUGGCCAGAUUUUUACUUUUGUAAGCGCACCGAGGCUCUGACCGGCGACUGAUAUGCAGAGGUAAGUGGAGCUCAUUACUCACUGUCACAGGGUGAAUGACAGGAACACGAGCUGUGAAAAAACGCACACAGAGGGCUAUUUAUAAAUAAGGGUGUAAGGAGCCGAUAGGUUGACAUCCCAUUUCAUGUCUUUUCCACCUCGCCCUCCUGCUACAAUUGUCUGCCUUUCCCCGAACAGCUGGCGCCAAAGCGGCAAAAAGAUCCCGAGUGUACUCAUACGACAAAAAUACUCCCUUCUUUCCCGCAUGCAGAAUAGACGUGCCGUGGAACUCCCGUACCCGCUCCUCCCUGCGAGCUACGCGUUUCCGAUUUCCUUUAAUUGGUCACAGGUGUCCCCGGGGUGCGAGCGGUGAGGAACAGCAGACACGGUAAUGGUUUACCUUGGGAGCUGUGCAUUAAACACAACAUGGUCACUCUCCAACACCGAUACAGCCCUAAAGAACUCUCCCUUAUUGAUUCCCACUGCAGCGGCAUCACCGGGGAAUUACGUCAACACCCUCAGCCUGAAAUGUCGUUAUUGCAGCAUGCCAACCCCGAUUUUUCCUCACACAAUGGCGAACUGCGAUGUAAAUCAACAGUGCGCCAUAUACCGGAAAUGAUCACAUCAAAACAUUUGCAAAGCUGAAUAACUCGGUCGUCAACGCUUAGAAACGAUGUCACAUAUAAACCGGGUCAUGUAAAGUCAAUUACAACUUGUCAUUCUCAUAUUCCAUUAAUGCGGAGCACGGCCCUGAAAAUGAGACACCCCGCACAGUCCGGAUCAAACCUUUUAUUUCGCACCCUUUUAUUUUAACUCGUCUUGUAGCGUUGGAGACAAACAAGUAAAUAAAUGAUAGCUCGGCUGUUCUUCAAACUACGUUUAAUUAUCCUCAGGCAGCUUCAUGGGAGAGAAGUUUUUUUUUGUAUGUUUUUUUUUUCUGGGGGGUUGACAACCCCUGUGAUUUGAGCCUUGCAGGCACGCGAGCACGCACGCGCACGCAUGCACGCAUCAACAAGCACAGCGAGAGUCAUUCAUCAUGGUGUCAGUGUGGAGCUGGCUCAGAGUCGG